rnacentral:rRNA from 1 species
GAUGAACGCUGGCGGCGUGCCUAAUACAUGCAAGUCGAGCGAACGGAUGAGAAGCUUGCUUCUCUGAUGUUAGCGGCGGACGGGUGAGUAACACGUGGAUAACCUACCUAUAAGACUGGGAUAACUUCGGGAAACCGGAGCUAAUACCGGAUAAUAUUUUGAGCCGCAUGGUUCAAAAGUGAAAGACGGUCUUGCUGUCACUUAUAGAUGGAUCCGCGCUGCAUUAGCUAGUUGGUAAGGUAACGGCUUACCAAGGCAACGAUGCAUAGCCGACCUGAGAGGGUGAUCGGCCACACUGGAACUGAGACACGGUCCAGACUCCUACGGGAGGCAGCAGUAGGGAAUCUUCCGCAAUGGGCGAAAGCCUGACGGAGCAACGCCGCGUGAGUGAUGAAGGUCUUCGGAUCGUAAAACUCUGUUAUUAGGGAAGAACAUAUGUGUAAGUAACUGUGCACAUCUUGACGGUACCUAAUCAGAAAGCCACGGCUAACUACGUG